AUGAGGUCCCUGCAGAAGGCAAUCGCGGAGGAAGUGGAGCUUCCGCCAUCGGUGAUGGCCAUCUUAGAUCGGUGGGACGAGGAGGAUGAUUUCAGUGGGAUAGUCGAAGGCUAUCGAGGGGUGAUACCAGAUAUCAGAACAGAAAUCUUCAGAAAGCUUGCUAGCAGUAUAUUUGUGGUGAUAUUUCACAAUGGAAGUGACAAAUACAUUGAUCUCUAUGAGUGUGGUGUCCCAGCAAUAUCAUUUUUGAGUAUUAUAAGGUGUUGUGGACCUGGCACGGGAGGUUUCAAUCCAAAUACAUAA
rnacentral:rRNA from 1 species